UCCUCUAAUAUUUUCUUGGUUUAAAACCAAUAAGGAGCCCUCUCUGUAAUUAUGCAAUACUGCUCAGAUUUGUAAAGUAAGCACAUUAAAAAGCUUUAGAAAGCAGAAUAACCAGCUAACAAGCUACAAAAAUUUCUGAAGACAUAAAUCAAUGCCAUACCUCUAUGACUACAUUGAGGCAAAAUAACGUGGAAAAAAAAAAAAAAAAGAAAGCCUCCAACCCCAAAGCAAUGCACACAGGAAUUCUGUUGUUGUUUUUGUUCCUACGCACAUGCCAUUCAUGUGAGGUGGUGUUUGUGCUUCGCUCGCGGUGGCGGUGGACGUCACUGUCUGGAACUGCACAGGCCUCGUGGUCAGAGGGAUAUGUUUAGGGCCCUCCUGUGAGCCUGACGACAAGGAUAUCAGAAGACAAAUAGACCUUCAGGUAGGCCAAGGUUUCUUUGUUUACCUGUUUACCUUGUACUUUUCAAAGCAAACUGUUUAAGUCACUCUAAUCCAAUGUCAUGACUUGGGGAAGCUUGAAUUGGGACCUUCCAAGCAUGUGAGAUUAGUUACAUACUAUUUAUGUUACAGCUCUGUUUUGCUCUCCUUGCUUAUACGUCCUCCUUUGGCUUGCUCUUUAUCCUGACGUUAGGCUGCAAGUAUUUUUUCCUCAAGCACAGCGAGUAUAGAAGUUGGAUAGGAGACUGGGAAGCAGAUAGAGCACUCACCAUCUUUUCUCACCCAAGGUUUUCUAGGGAAAGGACAGUUCCACAGUGAGGUUAUGGGCAGCUUUGGAAAGUACAACACAAGUUCUACUGAAGUUGCCCCACUUUCAGUCAAUGUGGGGUUUUCCCCACCCCACAAUUUCUAGCUCUCCCAAGUAUGGAAACUUGGAAACAAUGGAAAAAAUGAGGUAGCCUGCCCUUUCAGAAGACAUUUUGUAAUGUCACUCUGCUCGCCUUCCCAUAGCCUGCAGGUGAUGUUGAUCGUGUUUACAGGAAAUGCCAUGAGUAAUUUGCAAAGUGAAAGCAGCUUACACUGGGUGAGGGCCCGUCUGAUGGGACAGAGCCAUGCUGUGUUGCUGGGCUCAUGGGUUGGAGAGGAGCAGCUUGGGGAGGAGUUUGUGUAACAAUUCUUCCAAUACUGGUGUAUUGGAAGGACAGCUUGAGGCCAACGUGACUCUGUCAAAAGACCUUGUUUAGCACUGUCACCUUGCUGGAGGAAACAAAUUCUAGACCCUUUUUCACCUCAUCCUUUUUGCCCUUACCCUGUUGUAUGACUCCAGAAUGCAGCACAGCAUCAGCCCGACAGAACAUACCAGUUAUUUCCUGAAAGUCUUGAAGUACCUCUGUUUCUCCCUACAUAUCCCUUCCCUCAGGGUAAUACUCC
rnacentral:lncRNA from 1 species